rnacentral:rRNA from 1 species
GACGAACGCUGGCGGCGUGCCUAAUACAUGCAAGUUGAGCGAUGAAGCUUGGUGCUUGCACCAAUUUGAAGAGCAGCGAACGGGUGAGUAACGCGUGGGGAAUCUGCCUUUGAGCGGGGGACAACAUUUGGAAACGAAUGCUAAUACCGCAUAACAACUUUAAACAUAAGUUUUAAGUUUGAAAGAUGCAAUUGCAUCACUCAAAGAUGAUCCCGCGUUGUAUUAGCUAGUUGGUGAGGUAAAGGCUCACCAAGGCGAUGAUACAUAGCCGACCUGAGAGGGUGGUCGGCCGGCUUGGGAGGGAGACACGGCCCAAACGCAUACGGGAGGCAGCAGUAGGGAAUCUGCAGCAAGGGACGAAAGUCUGACCGAGAAACGCCGCGUGAGUAAAGAAGGUUUUCGGAUCGGAAAACUCUGUUGGUAGAGAAGAACGUGGGUGAGAGUGGAAAGCUCAUCAAGUGACGGUAACUACCCAGAAAGGGACGGCUAACUACGUG